rnacentral:rRNA from 2 species
UUUGACCUCAAAUCAGGUAGGAUUACCCGCUGAACUUA